ACCAGUGCUUCCAGUGCUCAGUGCCCAAAGAUUUUUUUGGCUGACUGGCUCAGUUGGCAUUCUUUGCCCAAACUAUCUCUGUGAAGAGCUCAUGGAAUCAUGCAGGGCCAGCUCUUCAACCAGCAUGAGCCAGCGUGGUUCUCUGGAAGCUACAUGGAGAACCUGCUCUUCCUUGGGGUCUGUGUUAGCUAUGCAAGGAAAAGGAACAAUUCUGGCAACUGUGAUGAAUUGGUGAUUUUUUUAUUUUUUUUUUAAUUGUCCUGAUGUUGCUCUGUUCUACUGCUGGGAAAUUAUACAAGUUCUACUUGUACGGGAAAAGAAUGAAGACAACAAAGAACUGACAAUGAAGAGAUGUGCAGCUUGGAUUUCAGAUAAUCUCAUGAAUCCACACUAGUGUUCACAGAGAGCAGAGCCCUGACAGCUGUGGCACCCAGGGCUGGCUCCUCCUCUCCACACGCUCUGGAUGGGGAUGGGCUGCUUGCUCAAGAGGAACAGGGGCAGGGCUCGAAGGCAGGAGGAGCUGGCCUCCUUUCAGGCCAAGCUCUGCAGGUGUAAUUAAACAGCCUUGUCUGUCUGGGGCUCACACUGCUCUCAGGACUGGCUGGAGGGCUGCUCAGCACAAGGAGGGACAGUCAGAGCUCCCCAGCUGGAGUUCUUGCUGCAGUGUCACACAUGGGAACAACCUCCCAAGCUCCUCAGCCUUUCCCAUGUUGGGUGUUACAGCAGGGUGCCAGGGUGAGCCUGUGGUGAGCAGAGAGAAGUGUGGAACACAGCACAAACCUCAGCUUUAAAACUGACUGGGUGUAGAAUCAGCUGCUUUUAUUUCCAGAUUCUGCAAUAUCAACCCAAGGGGGAAAAAACUCUUAAGUUGCUUGUUACAUAUAAUAAAAUAUAUAUAUAUAUUUUUACUGAUUUAGGAGUGACAUUUUGAGGGCUAAUGGUUGGGUGGUCAGUAAAAUUCAUCCUGCAUGCACAGGGUUGCCCAAAGAGCCCAGCCACGCUGGCAUGGUCAGCAAGACUUUUGAAAUUCCAGCUGUUCCUGACAGCUGAAAAUCCAGCCCUAGUUAUGGAAGUGGAGUAGGUCAUCCCUUAGCCCCAGACAGAAUUAGCACAAGGAUAGGUUAUUUUCAUAUGCAGCAGACCAGCUUAUUUGCAUAGUCUCCACACAAUUUAUUGAAAUUUCCCAGAAUCUCAAGCAGGGAGUCACAUUAGCAGAAGGAAUAUUAACCUGGGAACCUUCACAAAAAACUUUACCAUGACUUUCUUCUAUCUAUAUAUUUUUCUCUCAAUACAGCACUGUCACUGGGCAAUUUAAUUCUCUUCUGGGCACAAUUGUCAGCCUGUUUUCCAGAAGGGACACAUGCCACAGGAUUUAUUUUAUUCCAUUUAAGUAGCUAUGACCAGUUGUCAUAAAUUGAGGAGUGGAAAUUGCUCAUCCCCUAAGGCUCUCUAACAAAUGAGAUCAGAAGUCCAAUGAAUAUGUCUUGCAAAGCUUUUCAGUUCAAUUACAGAUGUUCAUGUGCAAUGCCACGAUCAGUUCAAAUUGUAUCAUUGCAGGUGUGAAAGACCUGCAAAUUGAAGUCUGUUUCACAUCAGUAUCCAACAUGUGACUGGAAAGAUUAAAAGGAAAAUUUUCAAGGGACAAAGGAUGAACAAUUAAUGAGCCCUGCAGUGGCUCUGAAACAGGUAGCAAAGCAAAACAACUGUAAAAGGAGAAGCUGUCAGAAAUGAGCAGUUUGGUGCCAAGUUUCAGGAGGAGAUUAGUGGAGAGUUUCACUGGAUCCAUUAGUGUUUGCAAAGGACUUGUAGACUGGAUCAAUGAGCAUCACAGAAACUCCCAGGAGGAAGUGAAUUAAAAGCUUUUUUUUUCUUUUUUUUUUUUUUCUUUUUUCUUUUUUCUUUUUUCUUUUUUUUUCUUUUUUCUUUUUUCUUUUUUCUUUUUUCUUUUUUCUUUUUUUUUUUUUUUUUUAGUGGGAAGCAAAUAAAGCAGAGCUCACACACCAGCUGAGACUAAGAGAAGACACUGCCUGGACCUCUGGUCAAAUUUUGUAGGAACAGAAGAGGUGCAUCUUGGAAGGAAGGAGUGUUGCUGGUCUCAGCAUGUGCCCCAGCAAGGAGCUCCUGACACCCUUUGGUGGGUGAUGGAUUAGUGCAGCACAGCUGGAGCUGCUCAUGGGCUGCAGAUGUGAAUCCCAGAGUUGUUCCUACAUGUGCUUGAGCACUGGAGGCUUUGUGGCCAGUUUGCAAAAAGACAUCAAUGUACCUGGACAAGAAUGAGAAAAGCUGGAGUUCUAAGGAGGGAAAGAGGAGAUCUCACUGGUGUUGGUCACCUUAAGAGGAGGGUGUGCAAAAGACAAAGGCAGAUGUGCUUGGAGAUGCAGUGACAAGGGGCAACAGGCACAAAUUGCAGCGUGGGAAGUUCUGAUGAGAUGAUGUCAGAAGUGUCCACCCUGAGGAUGCUCAAAUGCCGGAUGAGAGGCCAGAGAGGAUGUAGGAUCUCCUUUUUUUGGAGAUGUUCAGAGCUCACCCGGACAAGGCAAGCUGGUUAGUUGGCCCUGAUUUGGCUUGGAGCCACCUGCUUCCCAACAGGCAUCUCUUGAUUUCAUCACACCCUGGAAUGUCUCUUGGUUUCAUUAUGGGGAGUGGGGAGAUACUGAGUCUCCCUCACCUACAUGGGGGAUUGGCCAGAGCACUUUUAGGGCACAGAGCAGGACAGCCCGUGGGGAUGGCUGGCAGGCAGUCAGCCUGGACGGGUCACUGUAGUGCCAUGCUGGUUUUAUCCUUGUGUUUCCAGACGGUGCCCUGAUUGACAGCUGUAUUUUAAAAUUCAAUUAUCCAUCUGCCUUCAAGCAGUGAGCAAAAGGCUUUUUGGCCUCAGCCUGGUCUGUAACAUCUCAGAGCCUCAAAUAGAUGUGGAUGCCUCAUCCCUGGAAGUGUUCAAGGCCAGGCUGGAGAGGGCUUGGAGCAACCUGGGCUAAUGGAAGGUGUCUGUGCCCAUGGCAGGAACUAGUUAAUUUUUUAACGACUUAAAGAUCCCUUCCAACUCAAACCAUUCUAGGAUUCCAUGAUGAUUCUAUAAUCCUUGUAAUGUUCUCAUCACACCACAUGUGUGGCCCUGCUCCAGUUUUCACUGUGAAACAGAGGCUUCAGAGGAGGCUCUGUCCCUCUCUGCUGCACAGCCUUGGCUUUGUUCACCCACAGCACACCUCAGACUGGCACUGCUGGAGAUAACGUGAGAGAUGCCACCUUUCACUGUCCCCUCCUGCCACUGCCCUGUGUCAGGCUCCCUGAGUGCAGCCAAGGAGCCCUGGGAGGGGAGUGCUUGGACCAGCCCCAGCACUGGGGGUUCAGUGGAACCCAUCCUGCUGAGCUCCACGCCUGCCUGCUCUCUGCAGACUCGUUCAGGCCUCCACUGGCCUGCUGACAUUUUGUCUUGGGUUGCAAUGCAAGAUGUAACGCACAGUGUGUUCUAUUGCCAGCUGUUAAAACCAGGUGGGGCAGAGUUCUUUAUCUCUUCCAGGACCCAUCCUCCCUCCAGGGGAUCUCUGCUGUCCAUGGGCCAUCCAGGCUCACUGCAGGGCUGAUCCAAUUCCAUCAUCCAUGGGAGAUGCUGCACCCAGGGGAGGAGCCCAGCAUUCCCACCUGGAUAAAACCUGGGAUUCAGAACACAGCACAGCCUGUGUGCACUGCAUUCCCACCUGGAUAAACCCUGGCAUUCAGAGCCCAGCACAGCCUGUGUGCACUGCAUUCCCACCUGGAUAAACCCUGGCAUUCAGAGCCCAGCACAGCCUGUGUGCUCUGCAUUCCCACCUGGAUAAACCCUGGCAUUCAGAGCCCAGCACAGCCUGUGUGCACUGCAUUCCCACCUGGAUAAACCCUGGGAUUCAGAGCCCAGCACAGCCUGUGUGCACUGCAUUCCCAGAGGAAAACCAGACCCAUCUCACCAGCACCGGACCCUGCUACAGGAUCCUCUCUGCUCCUACAGAACCACAUCUGUCACAGCAGGAGGACUUGACUGGACUGCUCCCAACACCCUGACCAACAGGGUGUUGGGUUGUGUUCUGACUCUGUCAGUGUUUUCUUUUUGUUUGUUUGUUUGUUUGUUUGUUUUUUGUACUAUUAAAUUUUUAUUUUUAAUAUUCCUAGUAAAGAACUGUUAUUCCUAUUCCUAUAUCUUUGCCAGAAAGCCCCUUAAUUUCAAAAUUAUAAUAAUUUGGAGAGAGAGGGUUUACAUUCCCCAUUCCAAGGGAAGCUCCGGCUUUCCCUGGCAGACACCUGUCUUCCUAAACCAAGAGACAUUUACAUACAUUUUUAAAUAUCAGGGAAGUAUUGCUGGGAGAGGGAACUGUGCAGUGAACAACAGUGACUUGCAGCAGCAAAAGGAAGAAGGUAGUUGAGAGCUGGAUCAUAGUGACCAUGCCAAUACUCCCCUGAGGAGUGGAGCUUCCUGUGAGAACAGUGUCUUUUCCAGGAGAUGAACUUCUUCAGCAUUAGCCCUGAGUAAACGCUGGUCCAGCUCACAAAACAUCCCGGAGUGCAGAACUGUUUACAGACUUUAUUUGUUUUGAGCCUUGUGCUUUGUGAGAUCAGAGGCAUUUUUAUUACCCAGCUUUGUGCAGUAUCAUUCCACAAACAAAUGCCAUGUGGAUGUUUACCAUAAUGAGGGAAUACAUUACAGCCUGAAAGGAUGGCAGUGUCUAAUAGAAAUAUACUUCUGGAGCACCUGAGGGCA